rnacentral:rRNA from 1 species
GACGAACGCUGGCGGCGUGCCUAAUACAUGCAAGUAGAACGCUGAAGGAGGGGCUUGCUCUUCUGGAUGAGUUGCGAACGGGUGAGUAACGCGUAGGUAACCUGCCUGGUAGCGGGGGAUAACUAUUGGAAACGAUAGCUAAUACCGCAUAACAGUAGAUAUUGCAUGAUAUCUGCUUGAAAGGUGCAAAUGCAUCACUACCAGAUGGACCUGCGUUGUAUUAGCUAGUUGGUGAGGUAACGGCUCACCAAGGCGACGAUACAUAGCCGACCUGAGAGGGUGAUCGGCCACACUGGGACUGAGACACGGCCCAGACUCCUACGGGAGGCAGCAGUAGGGAAUCUUCGGCAAUGGACGGAAGUCUGACCGAGCAACGCCGCGUGAGUGAAGAAGGUUUUCGGAUCGUAAAGCUCUGUUGUAAGAGAAGAACGAGUGUGAGAGUGGAAAGUUCACACUGUGACGGUAUCUUACCAGAAAGGGACGGCUAACUACGUGCCAGCAGCCGCGGUAAUACGUAGGUCCCGAGCGUUGUCCGGAUUUAUUGGGCGUAAAGCGAGCGCAGGCGGUUAGAUAAGUCUGAAGUUAAAGGCUGUGGCUUAACCAUAGUACGCUUUGGAAACUGUUUAACUUGAGUGCAAGAGGGGAGAGUGGAAUUCCAUGUGUAGCGGUGAAAUGCGUAGAUAUAUGGAGGAAACACCGGUGGCGAAAGCGGCUCUCUGGCUUGUAACUGACGCUGAGGCUCGAAAGCGUGGGGAGCAAACACGAUUACAUACCCUGGUAGUCCCAAGGGGAAAUCCACAGUGGAUAUCAAGCUUAUCCGCUCCCCUCCGAGCUCAAAAAGAAGAACCUGUAUUAGUUUUUUUUCCUUUACGGGGGUAAAUAA